rnacentral:lncRNA from 1 species
ACAACACAAACCCAGUAGGGAACAUUAGUGCCACCAGGGUCCUGGAACAAUGACUCGGCACCUCUUGUUUUCAAGGGUGGGUAAUAAGAAAAUAAAGUUGCUUUCUCCUCCCCUGUCCACCCACAAGAAAUAUCGGCUGCUUUUCUCCAGGGUAAAUAUGGCAUGUUCUCUAUUUAAUUCUAGAAUGUAAGCGCCACGAGGGCAGGAAAUUUUUAUCUCGUUUGUUUUGUUCACUGAUGUAUCCCCAGUGCCUUGGCACUGAAUAGCCACUCGGUAAACUUCUGAUGAAUAAAUGAAUGACUGGAUGGAUUCUGUUUGUUAUUGCUUCCGCACAGUUCUUUGAGGAUUUGGGGGUUGAGACUAGCCUUCUGUUACUGGCUGGAGUAUUUUUUAUUCUUUAAAAUGCCUUUUAGAAAUGUUUCCCUGGCAUCCCUCGUGGUGCUGCAAAGUAUAAGUAGACCCAUGUGACGAAGAAGAAGCCCUUGUCCAGUGACCCUUGAAAGAGCCGUAGCUUAGGCAUCAGUCUCUGUGUACCACCUUUGUGGCCAGGCCCAAGAGGUCAGGGGCACGGACACAGGCAGAGCAGGACAGGGAUGAAGCUGCGUCUAGGAGCUAGGCUGUAGAACUCACAUUCCUUUGCUGGGGGUCCCAUUUGGCUGCCUUCCAGGGCACAGGGAAAGGUGUGUCUGCUGGGAGGUGGGGCAGGCAGCACCACACACAGGCAGAUGUGGAUGUUUAGUAAACCACUGGAGUUUGCUCUGCAGGGGAAGGGUAGAACCAAACAUGUUUACAACCUCGCUGCUCUGACCCUCCCUCUUGCUCGGGAACCAAAAUGGAGGUCUGCUCUCAGGAAAGAAAAGUUCUGGACAGAGAUCAGGCAACUGAAGGAAGCUAAAAGAACGCCUGGGUCCAGUUUGCAGAUGGAAAUCCUGCUUGAUGUGCCCAUGAAACAGUCAAGGACAAGGUUGGGGGUACAUGGGGCAUCUCACCCCUAAGCUCAGUGCUUAGAAAGACAGUGUUCUUGUUUUUUGCUUUGGAUUUGACAAAAAGGUUUGGAGGACCCUGUCCUGCAGAGACCAAAUGCUCUAGGCAUGGAAUUAUCUGGAUAGGUGGACCAACUCUUUAGCUGCACGUCUUCCUUUGCCCAGUUUCCCAAGAUGAACCAUCCCUGUACACUGAUUCUGUUGUUGCUCUUUCAUCCACCCACCCCCUGCCCUAGCUAGAGCCCCACCUUCCAGAGGAGACCACAAAGUUCCCCCAGGGGCCAGGCACUGCCAUAAUCAGUGUCAUAAUCUGCCUCUAAUUCACCAAGAUGAAGCUUACCAAGAUGAGACUAGAUGAGCCCCAAGCCAGUUUUCCUUGGAUCUUCCUAAGGACUUUACCCAAGGCCGAUAUGACCUAGAGCUUAAGAGGGCUGGGGAAAAGAACAAAACAAAUGCUAAAGCUGGGUUCUAACCUUCAAGAGCAACUUGUCUGAGUAUGUAGUGGCUUGACGCUUGCUCUAUGAGCUUUUCUAUUGGCCAUUUUCCCCAUUCUUUGAAUCAAGGAGCUGCUAGUGGGGGUGGUGGUGACAGUGGGAUGGCGCUGGCAUUGGUGUAUUGGUUUAAGGCACUACAUUUUUUGGGAAGGACAGAAAUCAUGAAGUUAAAAGGAGGAACAGCGUUCAGCUCCCCAAGUCAACAGCCGGUGCCCAGGCCCCUGUCCUCCUGUGCACCUAUCUGCAGCCCCCACGUCUCCUGUUUGCCAUCGAUGCCAUCCCAUUGGAUUAAAUGAGGCCUUCUUUCUUCACGUCUGCCACCCAGUUCCCAGUAGGAUGCUUCCAACAGUUCAAAGUGUUGUUACAUGAAAGAAGAAAGAGAUUUGAACCUUAUGAGCUCUGAAGGCAGAGCUAGGUUCAAUGGAAAACAGGGAGGCAGAUUUCAAAUAAAUAACAGGAAGAAUUUUCUAUCAAGGAGGGGCAGUGGGAAGACUAUGGACUCUGCAGCGAAACCAACUCAGGUUCAAAUUCUGAUGCUGCUCUUAAUAGAUCUGUGAUCAUGGGAAAAUUACUUUCCCUCUCUGUGCCUUUGUUUCCUCUAGAAAAAUGGAGAGAAUGCCUCCUCAACAGGACUCUUUUUGGAUUAGAGCUCAAGCCACUCACUGGCCCCAUCCCCAUUGUUGGCUCUAUGAACCACAGCAAUUGUGUCCAGCAGCAAAAGCCAUCCAAGGUGGAGUUGAGACAUCCCUGAGGCCCUGCAUCUGCAUGAGUGGAUGUCUCCACACCUCAAGAGGCAAGCACAGAGAUUCCAGAGACUUGCCCAAGGUCACACAGCAGUAAGUGCCAAAGUGAAGGUUGGAAUUUGGGUCUGCCUCCAUAGCCUGUAAUUUUGUCACUGUGCUGGCUGGAUUUAAAAGAGCAUUUCCCCAUAUUAGAUGUCAAGGCUGGUGAUGGUGAGGCAAAUUACACAGGUUGGGAGGCAAAGGGGAGUUAGUUGCUAAUCCAACUCCAGUACUCAAAAGUGUGUCCCAGACCAUCCUCUUCAACAGCACCUGGGAACUUGUUGAAAAUGCAGAAACCCAGGCCUCACCCCAGGCCUAUAGAAUGAGAAUCUGUAUCCUAACACCCCCCACCCCAGGGAACUGGCAUGCACUUUAACAUUUGAGAAGCUAAAUUUGAGAACCUUAGAACUGGUUCUCAAAUUUAGCUACACAUUGGUAUCACUUAGAAAGUUUUAACUACUGAUAUGUAGUCCCACUCCCCAGCUGUUCUGACAGGUCCAGGGUGCAGCUUGGAUACUGGGAUUUUUAAAUACUCCCUCGGGUGAUUCUAAAGUGUGGCCACAUUUGAGAACUAUUGUCCUACAGCGGGGUCAGCAAACUGGUCUGUUGGCCAAAGCAGCCUGUUUUUGUAUGACCCACAAGCUAAGAAUGGGUUUUACAUUUUUAAACAGUUGAGAAAAAAUCAAUUAAAGACUAUAGGAUGAUAUGUGAAAAUUAUAUGAAAUUUAAAUUUCAGUCCCCAUAAAAUAAAGUUUGACUGGAAGACAGUGAUGUUCAUUCACUUCCAUGUCUAUGGUCUAUGGCUGCUUUGGUGCUACAAAGGCACAGUUGAGUAAUUACAACUGAAUAGUUUAAAGUACUUAAUAGUUACUAUCUGGCUCUUUACAGAAAAAGUUUGUCAAUCCCUGUUCUAGAGAAUUUAUGAAUAGCUAGGAUAAUAACCAUGACUGACUAAUUGAUCUGACUUUAUUUGU